rnacentral:rRNA from 1 species
GACGAACGCUGGCGGCGUGCUUAACACAUGCAAGUCGAGCGGUAAGGCCCUUUCGGGGGUACACGAGCGGCGAACGGGUGAGUAACACGUGGGUGACCUGCCCUCAGCUCUGGGAUAAGCCUGGGAAACCGAGUCUAAUACUGGAUAUGACUCCAUGACGCAUGUUGUGGGGUGGAAAGCCUUGUGCGGCUGAGGAUGGGCCCGCGGCCUAUCAGCUUGUUGGNGGGGUGAUGGCCUACCAAGGCGACGACGGGUAGCCGGCCUGAGAGGGCGACCGGCCACACUGGGACUGAGACACGGCCCAGACUCCUACGGGAGGCAGCAGUGGGGAAUCUUGCGCAAUGGGCGAAAGCCUGACGCAGCGACGCCGCGUGAGGGA